UACGGAGGGUGCGAGCGUUGUCCGGAAUCACUGGGCGUAAAGGGCGCGUAGGCGGCCUGAUAAGUAGGGGGUGAAAUCCUGCGGCUUAACCGCAGGGCUGCCUUCUAAACUGUCAGGCUAGAGCACAGUAGAGGCAGGUGGAAUUCCCGGUGUAGCGGUGGAAUGCGUAGAGAUCGGGAAGAACAUCAGUGGCGAAGGCGGCCUGCUGGGAUAACACUGACGCUCAUGCACGAAAGCGUGGGGAGCAAACAGG
rnacentral:rRNA from 1 species